UACGUAGGGGGCAAGCGUUAUCCGGAUUUACUGGGUGUAAAGGGAGCGCAGACGGGAAAGCAAGCCAAAUGUGGAAGCCCCGGGCAUAACCCGGGGAGUGCAUUUGGAACUGUUUACCUGGAGUGCCGGAGAGGUAAGCGGAAUUCCUGGUGUAGCGGUGAAAUGCGUAGAUGUCAGGAAGAACUCCGGUGGCGAAGGCGGCUUACUGGACGGUAACUGACGUUGAGGCUCGAAAGCGUGGGGAGCAAAC
rnacentral:rRNA from 1 species